GACGAACCCGUCCAAACGUUAUUCGGAAUCACUGGGCUUAAAGGGCGCGUAGGCGGCCGAGCGGGUCGUGGGUGAAAUCCCCCAGCUUAACUGGGAACGUGCUUACGAUACCACUGCGGCUCGAGGAAGGAAGGGGCGAAUUGGAACUGUCGGUGGAGCGGUGAAAUGCGUUGAUAUCGACAGGAACGCCUGUGGCGAAAGCGAAUUGCUGGUCCUUUUCUGACGCUGAGGCGCGAAAGCCAGGGGAGCAAACGGGAUUAGAAACCCCAGUAGU
rnacentral:rRNA from 1 species